CUACGGGUCGCUGCAGUGGGGAAUAUUGCACAAUGGGGGAAACCCUGAUGCAGCAACGCCGCGUGGAGGAUGACACAUUUCGGUGCGUAAACUCCUUUUAUAUGAGAAGAUAAUGACGGUAUCAUAUGAAUAAGCUCCGGCUAACUCCGUGCCAGCAGCCGCGGUAAUACGGGGGGAGCAAGCGUUACUCGGAAUUACUGGGCGUAAAGCGCAUGUAGGCGGAUAGAAAAGUCAGAAGUGAAAUCCUAUAGCUUAACUAUAGAACUGCUUCUGAAACUCUCUAUCUAGAAUGUGGGAGAGGUAGAUGGAAUUUCUGGUGUAGGGGUAAAAUCCGUAGAGAUCAGAAGGAAUACCGAUUGCGAAGGCGAUCUACUGGAACAAUAUUGACGCUGAGAUGCGAAAGCGUGGGGAGCAAACAGGAUUAGAUACCCCGGUAGUC
rnacentral:rRNA from 1 species